rnacentral:rRNA from 2 species
ACCUGCGGAAGGAUCGUUA